GGGACGAAUGGGCGGGGCACGGCGCCGGACUACAACUCCCAGCCUGCCCCGCGGCGCGCCCCGCCUGAGGAACCCGGCCCGUUUCCCGCCCACCGCCCGUAGCCCGGUCCCUCGCCCUCCCUGAGGGGCCUGAGGGGGCCCCGAGCUGAGGAAGGGGGUGGGAACGUCCCGGGAGUUUGGGACUAAACCCGCCUCUCCCCCCCACACGAUCGGGGCGCUUUCCUGCCUGGUCAGUACUGGGAGAAGAAGAAAACGGUGAGCAGGUGCUGAUGAAAAAUGAAAGCUAUUUGCAAAUCUUGAAAUUGAUGCUUUGAGGACAGAAAAUAGGAAGCUAAAAAAUGGGUGAGAGACUUUCUGGCGAGAUACCCGAUGACUUCAGCGUCACCGAUUUCUGGGUAAAAAACAAUUCUGAAAGCGUUUUAAGGAGACUAAAUGUCCUCUAAAACAUAGUUUUGUUAAAUGCUGCUGUGACAUGAAAAAUAGUCAGAGGAAGGGAAGGAAUCCCCAGAGACAUUAAUUGUAAACGUGAUUGGAGUUUGUGCCGUUUGUUUGUAGGGCAGAAAUGGUUAAAAAAUACCCUAUAUCCCAAAACGCAGCGAAGAAAACCAGUUAUUAACUGGCGCCGUAUCUCCUCCCUCUGCAUUACAGAAACACUUGCUAGGGACGCGUGUGAGAAGCGCGAGCCUUCUGUGUAAACUCCAAAGGUGACUUCUUAAGCCUUGUAAAAAAUUAUCUCGCUUUUUACCAUUGCUUAUAAAAUGAGCUGUAGCUCUUGUUUAGUACGAAGACUUGAAGCACCUUGGUGGCCCUGGUAUGUUGAAAGACCAGCUGAAAAUAGUCAUAGCAAAAAUAUUUGGCAUUCCGAGUUAUAACCAGGAUGCAAAGCAUGCGGUCUGCAGGUAACUCUGAAUGUUAACAUGAUCGUGCUUCUAUUUUGAAAUAUGCAGAUAAGAGAACACCAAGGAAACAGACCAAACAUAGGAGGUGAACAGUGGGAAAUGUUUGCUUUGCCAGUGCUUCUCGGAACAACAGCAUGAGAUAAUGUAUUGCAUCAUCACUUUCGAAACUUCAUUUUUUUAGCUGAAUGGCUUAGAGAAAUUCUGAAAAGAAAACCCAAAAUUUUCAGAGAUGCUGAGGCGAUUCAUUUGUCUGCUAGUUAGCAGAAAUUUUGGGUGCAUUCCCAGGUGUUUUCACAAAACUUUUUUUGCUUUUUUUAAUUCAGAGUACGUAGGUUUGAGUUCAUUUGUUUUGUUUCAGGAAAAAAUUUUGCAAAACAUUGACACACGCACACCCCCCCCAUACCAGUAUCAUUUCAUUAUCAGUUUUAAUUAAAACACUGGAACUGAAGAAGCUUGUAGCAGCUUAGAUUAAAGAACCAAUUAAACAUAAAUAAGCCCCGACGUGCAACUUCUGGGGAAAACCACAAAAGAUGGGUGGCAUUUUAAAACCGAUUUUAGUGGUGGUUGAAUUCCUGCAGGACUCAGACAGAGGGCGCCUGCGGAGCAGAGGAAAGGGAACUCUGCGCAUCCGUCCUCUUCAGGGCUAAACGCUUUCACGGCGCUAGGAAAACACCGACCGCGCAGAAUUAAACAGACUUUAUUGGUCAUCGCUGUUAGAUUUGGAAGGAUGUUGCUGCGAUGCAGCGAUGCCCCAAAAUAUGUCGAGUUGGCAAGUACCAGGAGUACUGUACGCCUUUCUCUUUUCUCCAUGGUGAAUAUUAGCGCACAGGAACUUCUUUAUCUCGGACAACCCGCUGUUUGUCAUCCGUUUCAAUCAUAAAGAACUGAAACAGAUUAUGUUCCUAUUUAGGAAAGUUAAAGAUGGCAUUAGAGCUUUUUUUAAUGUCUUUAUCACCCAUUCAUACGCUUUUGCAUCUUUUGAGAGCUCUUUUCCCCCUCUUUUCGCACAGAUUGAUCUCUUCCAUCACUAGUCCCUAUGCUCCUUACGCCCAAACUCACACAGGUAUUUAAAUUUGUGCUUGGUAAAUCAGCAGUGCCAGGUUCAAAGUACAAGAAUGUUAUUUAGUUUUCCUGAAAAUUAGGUAAUGCUCCUCUUCAGGAACACCGGCUCCGCUUGAGCAACAUUCAAGCACCGAGAACAGCCUUUGGUCCUGCUAAUCGCGGUUGGGAUUAGAUGCUAUUCCUAGAGGGAUGGAGCUAAAAAGGGGCCGCAAGAAAUGCAGCCAGCACGCCCUUGCUGUCAGAUCACUAUUUAUAGAAGAAUGGAUAAAUGAAUAAAUCCUGCCUUUCACUUCCAAUUAAGUAACUCCCCUUUUCCUCAUCGAGUAACCUACACGUUUGUUGUCCUUUAAGUGCUUAGGUUACCAGUUGAGAUCGCAUUUUUAAAUUAAACAUUCAAAAUACUUUGGGUCUUCUUCCUCCAGUGUGGUUAGAGGCCAGGAAGCUUUGCAUACGUACAGAUCUUUGUACAAAAACAAAAAAAAGAUUUGUGUGGUUUAGAUGGUUCAGGAUUUCUCUGAUUUUACUUCUCCCAUUCAAACUGACUGACACCUUACUUAAGGGGUUAGUGGGGUUACUCGCAGCAAAAGGUUCUGCUUUAUAUGCAUAAGAAUUGCAAACUAAAAAAAAAAGAAGAAAAAUAAAUUGGUAUUUAAUUCCAUCCUAUUGUUUUCUGGCCUUGUUUAGAUUUUAAAUGAUUUAGUGUCUGGAAAGUACUUACAGUUUAAUUAUUUUUCCAUGCUUUUGUAAUGAUGUCAGUGAUGCUUUUUUUUCAACUAAAUAAGCCCAGAGUGUUGUCGUCUUCUUAAAUACAUCUUUGUAAUUGUCCUUAAAGGAAUACAAAUGCCUUUUUGUGCCUUUGCUGUUUUAUGUAGCAAUAGAUUUGACUAAAUGAAUUACAAAUCAAAAGUACAAUGCAAGGAUUAGUUUGUUAUUUUAACAUUAACAUUCUACUAUCAAAAAGGAUUCCAAAUUAAUGCAAUUACGGGGGGGAGGGAGGA